GGGAUAACACCUGGAAACAGAUGCUAAUACCGGAUAACAACACUAGACGCAUGUCUAGAGUUUGAAAGAUGGUUCUGCUAUCACUCUUGGAUGGACCUGCGGUGCAUUAGCUAGUUGGUAAGGUAACGGCUUACCAAGGCAAUGAUGCAUAGCCGAGUUGAGAGACUGAUCGGCCACAUUGGGACUGAGACACGGCCCAAACUCCUACGGGAGGCAGCAGUAGGGAAUCUUCCACAAUGGACGAAAGUCUGAUGGAGCAACGCCGCGUGAGUGAAGAAGGGUUUCGGCUCGUAAAGCUCUGUUGGUAGUGAAGAAAGAUAGAGGUAGUAACUGGCCUUUAUUUGACGGUAAUUACUUAGAAAGUCACGGCUAACUACGUGCCAGCAGCCGCGGUAAUACGUAGGUGGCAAGCGUUGUCCGGAUUUAUUGGGCGUAAAGCGAGUGCAGGCGGUUCAAUAAGUCUGAUGUGAAAGCCUUCGGCUCAACCGGAGAAUUGCAUCAGAAACUGUUGAACUUGAGUGCAGAAGAGGAGAGUGGAACUCCAUGUGUAGCGGUGGAAUGCGUAGAUAUAUGGAAGAACACCAGUGGCGAAGGCGGCUCUCUGGUCUGCAACUGACGCUGAGGCUCGAAAGCAUGGGUAGCGAACAGGAUUAGAUACCCUGGUAGUCCAUGCCGUAAACGAUGAGUGCUAAGUGUUG
rnacentral:rRNA from 1 species